AUUGAACGCUGGCGGCAUGCCUUACACAUGCAAGUCGAACGGCAGCGGGGGAGAAGCUUGCUUUUCCUGCCGGCGAGUGGCGAACGGGUGAGUAAUACAUCGGAACGUGCCCUGUAGUGGGGGAUAACUAGUCGAAAGAUUAGCUAAUACCGCAUACGACCUGAGGGUGAAAGUGGGGGACCGCUAGGCCUCAUGCUAUAGGAGCGGCCGAUGUCUGAUUAGCUAGUUGGUGGGGUAAAGGCCUACCAAGGCGACGAUCAGUAGCUGGUCUGAGAGGACGAGCAGCCACACGGGGACUAGGACACGGCCAAGCCUCCUACGGGAGGCAGAAGUGGGGAAUUUUGGACAAUGGGCGAAAGCCUGAUCCAGCAAUGCCGCGUGUGUGAAGAAGGCCUUCGGGUUGUAAAGCACUUUUGUCCGGAAGGAAAUGGCUCUGGUUAAUACCUUGGGUCGAUGACGGUACCGGAAGAAUAAGGACCGGCUAACUACGUGCCAGCAGCCGCCGUAA
rnacentral:rRNA from 1 species